rnacentral:sRNA from 1 species
GAGACAGCACAGGACUGGGGAGGUACCAUUGGAAGCACCCGCAACCUUAAAGGCACUGACCCUAACCUCACGUCUCCCCACUAGGGAGAGAAGUCUUUUUUCCUCCAGCCAGGAGAGCAGCUGGAACAAGGCAUCCAGGAUGUGUAUGUGCUGUCGGAGCAGCAGGGGCUGCUGCUGAGGGCCUUGCAGCCCCUGGAGGAUGGGGAGGAUGAGGAGAAGGUCUCACACCAGGCUGGGGACCGCUGGCUCAUCCGCGGACCCCUGGAGUAUGUGCCAUCUGCCAAAGUGGAGGUUGUGGAGGAGCGCCAGGCCAUCCCUCUAGACGAGAACGAGGGCAUCUACGUGCAGGAUGUCAAGACUGGAAAGGUGCGCGCUGUGAUUGGAAGCACCUACAUGCUGACCCAGGACGAAGUCCUGUGGGAGAAGGAGCUGCCUCCCGGGGUGGAGGAGCUGCUGAACAAGGGGCAGGACCCUCUGGCAGACAGGGGUGAGAAGGACACAGCUAAGAGCCUCCAGCCCUUGGCGCCCCGGAACAAGACCCGUGUGGUCAGCUACCGCGUG